rnacentral:rRNA from 1 species
AUGAGUAUACUCAGCUGGAACUGUCGUAGGGCUGGCAAUCCCAUGACAGUUUGUGAGCUUCGCAAUUUGGCGAAGCAGUAUGCCCCCUCAGUUUUAUGUAUUGUUGAAACAUAGUUAGAGGGUUAUCAAGUAGAAAGUUUGGCUAGUACUUUUAAUUUUGAUAAUAGUUUUGUUUUUAGUAGCUCCAGUAGAAGCGGAGGUCUUGGUUUUUUUUGGAAUAACUCAGUAAAGGUGGAGAUUGCUGGUUACUCAGAGUAUCACAUUCAGUGGCGAAGCCACAUACAUGCUCGGUAG